AACGAACGCUGGCGGCAGGCCUAACACAUGCAAGUCGAGCGCCCCGCGAGGGGAGCGGCGGACGGGUGAGUAACGCGUGGGAACGUGCCCCUUUCUACGGAAUAGCCUCGGGAAACUGGGAGUAAUACAGUAUAAGCCAUACGGGGGAAAGAUUUAUCGGGAAGGGAUCGGCCCGCGUUGGAUUAGGUAGUUGGUGGGGUAAUGGCCUACCAAGCCGACGAUCCAUAGCUGGUUUGGGAGGAUGAUCAGCCACACUGGGACUGAGACACGGCCCAGACUCCUACGGGAGGCAGCAGUGGGGAAUCUUAGACAAUGGGCGCAAGCCUGAUCUAGCCAUGCCGCGUGAGCGAUGAAGGCCUCAGGGUUGUAAAGCUCUUUCAGUGGGGAAGAUAAUGACUGUACCCACAGAAGAAGCCCCGGCUAACUCCGUGCCAGCCGCCGCCGUAAAAC
rnacentral:rRNA from 1 species